rnacentral:rRNA from 1 species
GAUGAACGCUGGCGGCGUGCUUAACACAUGCAAGUCGAACGGAAAGGCCAGUGCUUGCACUGGUACUCGAGUGGCGAACGGGUGAGUAACACGUGGGUGAUCUGCCCUGCACUUCGGGAUAAGCCUGGGAAACUGGGUCUAAUACCGGAUAGGACAAUGGUUUGGAUGCCGUUGUGGAAAGUUUUUUCGGUGUGGGAUGAGCUCGCGGCCUAUCAGCUUGUUGGUGGGGUAAUGGCCUACCAAGGCGUCGACGGGUAGCCGGCCUGAGAGGGUGUACGGCCACAUUGGGACUGAGAUACGGCCCAGACUCCUGCGGGAGGCAGCAGUGGGGAAUAUUGCACAAUGGGAGCAAGCCUGAUGCAGCGACGCCGCGUGGGGGAUGACGGCCUUCGGGUUGUAAACUCCUUUCGCUAGGGACGAAGCGUAUUUGUGACGGUACCUGGAGAAGAAGCACCGGCUAACUACGUG